GUUAUGCCGGAACACCGUUUUUAUUCCACUUUUAGUCACGCCGCAUCAAAAAUGUUCCACAAGGGUACUUCCGGUUUACAUUGUUUACCAUCGAAACAAAUUAAAUUGAUAGCUUUUCAGUCAUUUUUCUGUACAAUAAUCAUAAACUACGUUGACAAAUGGACGAGGACGUUGAUUUCUUUUGCUGACAAGUCACAGAUUUAAAGAGAUAUCUUCAAGAAAGAGGCAUACAAUGUAGUUUGCGGAGGAAACUUGAACUUGUUCGCCUGUGUGAAUUAGCUAACGAACUUCGGUUGGAGGUAUCUUUCAGAUAUGACAAAAUCAAAACUGAAAACAAUAUAUAUUUAUCAUAAAUAUGUUUAAAAAAAAAUAGAUAAAAUGUUUGUUUAUAUUAAUAUCAGAUUAUAACCUUGCAUAAUACCGAAAGCGAGUAUGUCGAUUUUGAGAGAAAUCGAAGGACUGUGACUGUUGGAGCAGAAAGAGUGACUUUGGAACCAAUGAACAAGAUUGAAGAGUGGAACAAAGAUUUGUCACAGAUACCAGACGUAGAAUCUUUUGAUGUCUUGGUUUACCUUACACAGAAGUGUGGGUGGAAUUCUGCACGUUUAUCAAAUUACAAGCAGGAUAAUGGUUAUCGUCUUCAUAUGGCAGGACAUAUUGAUGAUAUACAGGCAUCAUCUGAUUUGAUCCCUGGCAAAAUGUAUAUUAAGUGCUAAUGUGUCCCGGAGACCAGACAAACUGCUCAGCCAUAUGAAUCAUGGAUUCUGAUAAGGACGCAGUCUGGAGAAAUUGUGUCAGGUGGAUGCACCUGUGUUGCAGAUAAUGGAGCAUGUAAGCAUUGUGUUGCUUUCAUUUUCUCAUUGUCCAGUUUUUGUGAAAGGCACA